rnacentral:tRNA from 1 species
ACCCGUUUAGUAUAAAAAGUAUGUUUGACUUCCAAUCAAAAGGUUUGAUUCUCUUCAAAACAGGUA